GGUUAAGCGACUAAGCGUACACGGUGGAUGCCCUGGCAGUCAGAGGCGAUGAAGGACGUGCUAAUCUGCGAUAAGCGUCGGUAAGGUGAUAUGAACCGUUAUAACCGGCGAUUUCCGAAUGGGGAAACCCAGUGUGAUUCGUCACACUAUCAUUAACUGAAUCCAUAGGUUAAUGAGGCGAACCGGGGGAACUGAAACAUCUAAGUACCCCGAGGAAAAGAAAUCAACCGAGAUUCCCCCAGUAGCGGCGAGCGAACGGGGAGCAGCCCAGAGCCUGAAUCAGUGUGUGUGUUAGUGGAAGCGUCUGGAAAGGCGCGCGAUACAGGGUGACAGCCCCGUACACAAAAAUGCACAUACUGUGAGCUCGAUGAGUAGGGCGGGACACGUGGUAUCCUGUCUGAAUAUGGGGGGACCAUCCUCCAAGGCUAAAUACUCCUGACUGACCGAUAGUGAACCAGUACCGUGAGGGAAAGGCGAAAAGAACCCCGGCGAGGGGAGUGAAAAAGAACCUGAAACCGUGUACGUACAAGCAGUGGGAGCACAGAGCAAUCUGUGUGACUGCGUACCUUUUGUAUAAUGGGUCAGCGACUUAUAUUCUGUAGCAAGGUUAACCGAAUAGGGGAGCCGAAGGGAAACCGAGUCUUAACUGGGCGUUAAGUUGCAGGGUAUAGACCCGAAACCCGGUGAUCUAGCCAUGGGCAGGUUGAAGGUUGGGUAACACUAACUGGAGGACCGAACCGACUAAUGUUGAAAAAUUAGCGGAUGACUUGUGGCUGGGGGUGAAAGGCCAAUCAAACCGGGAGAUAGCUGGUUCUCCCCGAAAGCUAUUUAGGUAGCGCCUCGUGAAUUCAUCUCCGGGGGUAGAGCACUGUUUCGGCAAGGGGGUCAUCCCGACUUACCAACCCGAUGCAAACUGCGAAUACCGGAGAAUGUUAUCACGGGAGACACACGGCGGGUGCUAACGUCCGUCGUGAAGAGGGAAACAACCCAGACCGCCAGCUAAGGUCCCAAAGUCAUGGUUAAGUGGGAAACGAUGUGGGAAGGCCCAGACAGCCAGGAUGUUGGCUUAGAAGCAGCCAUCAUUUAAAGAAAGCGUAAUAGCUCACUGGUCGAGUCGGCCUGCGCGGAAGAUGUAACGGGGCUAAACCAUGCACCGAAGCUGCGGCAGCGACGCUUAUGCGUUGUUGGGUAGGGGAGCGUUCUGUAAGCCUGCGAAGGUGUGCUGUGAGGCAUGCUGGAGGUAUCAGAAGUGCGAAUGCUGACAUAAGUAACGAUAAAGCGGGUGAAAAGCCCGCUCGCCGGAAGACCAAGGGUUCCUGUCCAACGUUAAUCGGGGCAGGGUGAGUCGACCCCUAAGGCGAGGCCGAAAGGCGUAGUCGAUGGGAAACAGGUUAAUAUUCCUGUACUUGGUGUUACUGCGAAGGGGGGACGGAGAAGGCUAUGUUGGCCGGGCGACGGUUGUCCCGGUUUAAGCGUGUAGGCUGGUUUUCCAGGCAAAUCCGGAAAAUCAAGGCUGAGGCGUGAUGACGAGGCACUACGGUGCUGAAGCAACAAAUGCCCUGCUUCCAGGAAAAGCCUCUAAGCAUCAGGUAACAUCAAAUCGUACCCCAAACCGACACAGGUGGUCAGGUAGAGAAUACCAAGGCGCUUGAGAGAACUCGGGUGAAGGAACUAGGCAAAAUGGUGCCGUAACUUCGGGAGAAGGCACGCUGAUAUGUAGGUGAAGUCCCUCGCGGAUGGAGCUGAAAUCAGUCGAAGAUACCAGCUGGCUGCAACUGUUUAUUAAAAACACAGCACUGUGCAAACACGAAAGUGGACGUAUACGGUGUGACGCCUGCCCGGUGCCGGAAGGUUAAUUGAUGGGGUCAGCGCAAGCGAAGCUCUUGAUCGAAGCCCCGGUAAACGGCGGCCGUAACUAUAACGGUCCUAAGGUAGCGAAAUUCCUUGUCGGGUAAGUUCCGACCUGCACGAAUGGCGUAAUGAUGGCCAGGCUGUCUCCACCCGAGACUCAGUGAAAUUGAACUCGCUGUGAAGAUGCAGUGUACCCGCGGCAAGACGGAAAGACCCCGUGAACCUUUACUAUAGCUUGACACUGAACAUUGAGCCUUGAUGUGUAGGAUAGGUGGGAGGCUUAGAAGUGUGGACGCCAGUCUGCAUGGAGCCGACCUUGAAAUACCACCCUUUAAUGUUUGAUGUUCUAACGUUGACCCGUGAUCCGGGUUGCGGACAGUGUCUGGUGGGUAGUUUGACUGGGGCGGUCUCCUCCUAAAGAGUAACGGAGGAGCACGAAGGUUGGCUAAUCCUGGUCGGACAUCAGGAGGUUAGUGCAAUGGCAUAAGCCAGCUUGACUGCGAGCGUGACGGCGCGAGCAGGUGCGAAAGCAGGUCAUAGUGAUCCGGUGGUUCUGAAUGGAAGGGCCAUCGCUCAACGGAUAAAAGGUACUCCGGGGAUAACAGGCUGAUACCGCCCAAGAGUUCAUAUCGACGGCGGUGUUUGGCACCUCGAUGUCGGCUCAUCACAUCCUGGGGCUGAAGUAGGUCCCAAGGGUAUGGCUGUUCGCCAUUUAAAGUGGUACGCGAGCUGGGUUUAGAACGUCGUGAGACAGUUCGGUCCCUAUCUGCCGUGGGCGCUGGAGAACUGAGGGGGGCUGCUCCUAGUACGAGAGGACCGGAGUGGACGCAUCACUGGUGUUCGGGUUGUCAUGCCAAUGGCACUGCCCGGUAGCUAAAUGCGGAAGAGAUAAGUGCUGAAAGCAUCUAAGCACGAAACUUGCCCCGAGAUGAGUUCUCCCUGACUCCUUGAGAGUCCUGAAGGAACGUUGAAGACGACGACGUUGAUAGGCCGGGUGUGUAAGCGCAGCGAUGCGUUGAGCUAACCGGUACUAAUGAACCGUGAGGCUUAACCUU
rnacentral:rRNA from 1 species